UACGUAGGGUGCAAGCGUUGUCCGGAAUUAUUGGGCGUAAAGAGCUCGUAGGCGGCUCGGUAAGUCGGAUGUGAAACCUCCAGGCUCAACCUGGAGACGCCAUCUGAUACUGCCGUGGCUUGAGUCCGGUAGAGGAGCAGGGAAUUCCUGGUGUAGCGGUGAAAUGCGCAGAUAUCAGGAGGAACACCAGCGGCGAAGGCGCUGCUCUGGGCCGGUACUGACGCUGAGGAGCGAAAAGCGUGGGGGAGCGAACAGG
rnacentral:rRNA from 1 species